GGUCCAAUAGUGUAGAGGUUAUCACACGGGAUUCUGAGAACGUAAACGACUCCUCUUCCCGUGACCCAGGUUCGAGUCCUGGUUGGACCU